GACCUACUCUCGAAGAUAAUAAUAUUGGCCAAAAACUCUGCUUACCCCAUCCAAAGUUGGAGAGAAUAAUGUCACCGUUUGAAAUAAUCCGUGGUUAAAUGAGAAAUUGACAAGGUUUUGUGUUUGAAUUUGAGAAAGAGGAGGAAAAAAAAAAGGAAAAAGAAUUCAAAAGAUCAUUUCAUCCCAAAGCAUCAAGGCCUUAAGGAAGAAGACAAACUCACAGAGUUCUACCAAUAAUUUAAUCUGCUUUCAUUCUCAACCGUGAAGACAAAUGGAAUUUAGUCGAUAUACCUGAAAAGAAUUCCAGCAAGGAGCAGAAGGGUUUCUACUGACUGAAAGCGAGCGAUUUUAAUGAGGGAUAUCUGCGAUGCAUCGUGUAGCAAGUGCAGGCAACACAUCCAAUUCGGUGAGGGCUCGGAAGGAGAAGAGGUUGACUUAUCUUUUAAAUGAUGCCCGAUGACACUAAGAUUCAGGCGUAUCUGGUCCCGCUCCCGAGUGCUGAUCAUUCCGGCUUAGGCGGAUCUGAGGAGUCUCUAAGUAGUUGUUGGCGUUCGCAGCCCGGAGCUCUUCCCUAUCUUACUUC